rnacentral:rRNA from 1 species
AUUGAACGCUGGCGGCAGGCCUAACACAUGCAAGUCGAACGAGUGGCGGACGGGUGAGUAAUGUCUGGGAAACUUCCCGAUGGAGGGGGAUAACUACUGGAAACGGUAGCUAAUACCGCAUACCAUCGGAUGUGCCCAGAUGGGCUUAGCUUGUAGGUGAGGUAACGUCUGACCUAGGCGACGCUCCCUAGAUGGUCUGAGCGGAUGAUCAGACACCCUGGGACGGUGACACGGUCAAUAUGCCUACGUGAGGCAACAGUGGGGAAUAUUGCACAAUGGGCGCAAUCCUGAUGCAGCCAUGCCGCGUGUAUGAAGAAGGCCUUCGGGUUGUAAAGUACUUUCAGAGGGGAGGCGUAACCCGCAGAAGAAGCACCGGCUAACUACGUGCCAGCAGACGCGGUAAUAC